UUCGUAUUUCUAUCGCUGAAUGAAUCUGAUAUUAUAGCACGGCAAUUAAUUGGAGUCGUUGAAGGAGCUCAGGUUAUUGCGAGAAGCUGGAACUCCCCCAGGAAAGUAUAGCUUCUAGUUAGGUUUAAUCUGAAAUUCUGGAAAGCACAGUAUAUUCGCACCGCGUAACGAACCCGCAUUAAUUAAGUUCCGCUUCCGUCCGCGAACGGAAGUAACGAAGAAAGUUCGGGGGGCCAGUUAGUCCUCCCUCUGCAAUGCGAAUUUCACUACCAAAUUUUCAUCUUGUACAUUAGAUAAAAUCCAAAAAUUCAAAAGUAAAAGGAUACAAGAACUCUAAAGAUUCAAAGAUUUAAGGAUUUAAAGAUUAACAGAUCCCAAUAUUCAAAGAUUCAAAUAUUUCAAGAUUAAAAAAUUGAAAAAUUCAAUGAUUCGUAGAUGCAAAAAUUCAGACAUUCAAAGAAUGAUCAUCGAAUUUAUUAAAGAAUUCUAUUA